GGAGAGAUGCCGGAGCGGCCGAACGGGGCGGUUUCGAAAACCGCUGUCUCUUUUUGGGACCGGGGGUUCGAAUCCCUCUCUCUCCG
rnacentral:tRNA from 1 species